rnacentral:rRNA from 1 species
GACGAACGCUGGCGGCGGGCUUAACACAUGCAAGUCGAACGGAAAGGCCCUGCUUUUGUGGGGUGCUCGAGUGGCGAACGGGUGAGUAACACGUGAGUAACCUGCCCUUGACUUUGGGAUAACUUCAGGAAACUGGGGCUAAUACCGGAUAGGAGCUCCUGCUGCAGGGUGGGGGGUGGAAAGUUUCGGCGGUUGGGGAUGGACUCGCGGCUUAUCAGCUUGUUGGUGGGGUAGUGGCUUACCAAGGCUUUGACGGGUAGCCGGCCUGAGAGGGUGACCGGCCACAUUGGGACUGAGAUACGGCCCAGACUCCUACGGGAGGCAGCAGUGGGGAAUAUUGCACAAUGGGCGGAAGCCUGAUGCAGCAACGCCGCGUGCGGGAUGACGGCCUUCGGGUUGUAAACCGCUUUCGCCUGUGACGAAGCGUGAGUGACGGUAAUGGGUAAAGAAGCACCGGCUAACUACGUG